rnacentral:rRNA from 1 species
UACGUAGGGGGCUAGCGUUGUCCGGAAUCAUUGGGCGUAAAGAGCGUGUAGGCGGUCCGGUAAGUCCGCUGUGAAAGUCGGGGGCUCAACCCUCGAAUGCCGGUGGAUACUGUCAGGCUAGAGUGCGGAAGAGGCGAGUGGAAUUCCUGGUGUAGCGGUGAAAUGCGCAGAUAUCAGGAAGAACACCCGUGGCUAAGGCGGCUCUCUAGUACGGUACUGACGCUGAGACGCGAAAGCGUGGGGAGCGAACAGG